rnacentral:rRNA from 1 species
CACGUAGGGGGCGAGCGUUGUCCGGAUUUAUUUGGGCGUAAAGAGCUCGUAGGCGGCUCGGUAAGUCGGGUGUGAAACCUCCAGGCUCAACCUGGAGACGCCACCCGAUACUGCCGUGGCUAGAGUCCGGUAGAGGAGCGUAGAAUUCCUGGUGUAGCGGUGAAAUGCGCAGAUAUCAGGAGGAAUACCAGCGGCGAAGGCGGCGCUCUGGGCCGGUACUGACGCUGAGGAGCGAAAGCGUGGGGAGCAAACAGG